rnacentral:rRNA from 1 species
UACGUAGGGUGCAAGCGUUGUCCGGAAUUAUUGGGCGUAAAGAGCUCGUAGGCGGUCUGUCGCGUCGGCUGUGAAAACCCGAGGCUCAACCUCGGGCCUGCAGUCGAUACGGGCAAACUAGAGUACUGCAGGGGAGACUGGAAUUCCUGGUGUAGCGGUGAAAUGCGCAGAUAUCAGGAGGAACACCGGUGGCGAAGGCGGGUCUCUGGGCCGCAACUGACGCUGAGGAGCGAAAGCAUGGGGAGCGAACAGG